AAGUAAGAAGCGAUUUAUCGCAAUCAAUUUCGACUUGGUCUUAGAUGUAUUCAUCCUUACUUG
rnacentral:tRNA from 1 species